rnacentral:rRNA from 1 species
GACGAACGCUGGCGGCGUGCUUAACACAUGCGAGUCGAACGGAAAGGCCCUGCUUUUGUGGGGUGCUCGAGUGGCGAACGGGUGAGUAACACGUGAGUAACCUGCCCUUGACUUUGGGAUAACUUCAGGAAACUGGGGCUAAUACCGGAUAGGAGCUCCUGCUGCAUGGAGGGGGUUGGAAAGUUUCGGCGGUUGGGGAUGGACUCGCGGCUUAUCAGCUUGUUGGUGGGGUAGUGGCUUACCAAGGCUUUGACGGGUAGCCGGCCUGAGAGGGUGACCGGCCACAUUGGGACUGCGGUACGGCCCAGACUCCUACGUGAGGCAGCAGUGGGGAAUCUUGCACAAUGGGCGGAAGCCUGAUGCAGCAGCGCCGCGUGCGUGAUGACGGCCUUCGGGUUGUAAACCGCUUUCGCCUGUGACGAAGCGUUAGUGACGGUAACGGGUAAAGAAGCACCGGCUAACUACGUG